AUUGAACGCUGGCGGCAGGCCUAACACAUGCAAGUCGAGCGAGCGGCGGACGGGUGAGUAAUGUAUGGGGACUGCCCGAUAGAGGGGGAUAACUAGAGGAAACGGUGGCUAAUACCGCAAACUAUCGGAUGACCCAUACGGGAUUAGCGAGUAGGGGGGGGAAAGGCUCACCAAGGCGACGAUCCCCAGCUGGUCUGAGAGGGUGAGCGGCCACACUGGUAAUGAGACACGGCCCAGACUCCUACGGAGGCAGCAGUGGGGAAUAUUCCGCAAUGGGCGAAAGCCUGACACAGCCACGCCGCGUGAGUGAAGAAGGGCUUCGGGUUGUAAAAUUCUUUCAGCAGGGAGGCGUUACCCACACAAGAAGCACCGGCUAACUCCGUGCCAGCAGCCGCGGUAAUAC
rnacentral:rRNA from 1 species